GCUACCGCGUUAAGGUGAAAUAAAAAGAGCCUACCGUUUCAUUCCCACGCCUGCCUCUGAUUGGUGCACGAUCCUCUGACGUCACGGGAUGAACGGAAUUUGGCCAAUCAGCUGAGUGUUCGUGUGAUUAGGUUGGCAUGUGUUCAUUUUUCUCCCUUCAUAUGUUUUUGUUUUUUUUUACUUUUUUCUGCGGAUUUAAGGCUUGAUAGGAUAUUUUUUUGUAUGAUUCAGGUUAAUCAGUUAAGCGUCCGUGUGGUGAUGUUGAUGCGUUUUUGUUUUUACCUGAUUUUGAUGUAUUUGGCUCAUUUUCUGAUUGGCUGGUUGCCUUUCCUAUGACUUUUAGAGCAGGGAUAGGUAGAAACGUGAAAGUAUCGGUGGGUGGUUGAUGUACUUUGCUGUUUUACCAAUUAUAUCAGUAAGAAAAAUAGCAAAAUCAGUCCCUUUCUCACGUUGCCAACUAGUUUUGUUCGUUUCCUUCAUCUUGCUUUGAAAACUAGCAAAAUCAUCCCUUCCUAGUUGUUGACAAGAAUACAGCCACAUGCACGAACCAACCGGGUGUGUGUUGUCUCUAAGUCUUCUUUCUUUCUUAUCGCAUCAAAUAAUAGCAAAACAAUCCCUUCCUCAGCUUCCCAUCCAGUUUCCUUUCCUUUCAUCUCGCACCAGAAUCAAAACCAGUUCCUUCCUCCGUUUGCCUUCUGAUCCUCUUCCCAUUCUUUCAUCUCGCGUCAAAUCACCAAAAACAGCAACUCCUCAAAUCCCAGGUAAACCAAUCACGGGGGAAAAAUCAUCUUCAUUAGAAAAUAAAAGACGAAACGAGUGAAGUGCGAGCGGCCGGAUCAUCCAAUCACGGCUCAGCGGCGGGAGGAGUUGCAAGAUACCGCCAGAUGUCGCCUCCACGCAGCGGGCAAACCCCAUCAGUGCGUCGAGGCGUGGCGCUGCAUGUGUGUGUGUGUAGACGCAGAAGAGGAACGAGUAAAAAGGACGCAGAUGUUUAAAAAGGGAGGUAAAAGAGGAACCCUGUGACGACGAUCCGUGUGUGUGUAUGUAUCAUCCGCCUCGCCCCCGCCGCCAGCCAGCCAGAGCAUCGCAUUUGAGGCAACGAACCCAAGUCCUUCCUGUGGCUCGUGUGUGACCGCCGACACUCAAAGCGGGGCACCACAACGCUGUCUUUAAGGUUAACCAUCUCCGCCACUACCCACGCACACCCACGCACUCCCACGCACUCCCCUUCGCCCCCGCCGCCACCACCGCCGCUCAGGGCUUCAGUGACACUCAAGGUGUGAAACGAACCGCGAAAGGAAGAGAGGAAGAAGGUACGAUUGCCCACCAUAUACACCCUGCUCUGACAAUGCAGACUACAAUGGCUGGGCCAUGUACUGCAUGGAAGAUGGCCGCAUACCAAAUGUCAUCCAUUAAGAUGAACUGUCAUCUGGUAGGAGAACCACCAGUCACCCACACCUUUGCUACAAGGAUGUCUGUAAGAGAGAUGAGUAAGGACUCAACAUUGAGUUCUGCUUCUGGGAGAAUCUUGCAGUGGCAGGAAAGCAACCUGCAGAAGGAAAUGCAGUAGCUCAAAUAGACCAGAGACAACAUACAAAUGUGACCACUGUGCAGAGACUGCCACUCUCGUAUUGGUCUUUAUUGUCACAUGCAUCAAAUGUACUCAGGGUCAUCUCUGGCUGGUGGAGGUCUACUGGAGGUAAGACUUUGGUAUCCAAACUUUCUAGUAAUGUAGGCUAGAGAUGUGGAAAUUGCAGUAUAUUUUUGCAUCUUCCACAUGUAGAAAAGUGUUUGUUAUCUAGGCCAGGUGACUUGUGUUCUUCAGUUUGUCUAUCUCCUCUCUCCAGUCUUUACUUUACCUAUUGUAACUUUUAUUUGUUACUUAUCUGAAACUCAUUCUUCAGGAUGCUCAUUUAUACCCCUCUCAUUAUUUACAUAGAUUUACAUAGAAAAUCAGACCACACAGACCCCAUGGUCCAGACUUGGUGGUCUGUCCUUAAACCUAAGUGAUUUUACAUUAAUCAGAAGACUCCAAAACGUUGCAUUUCUACUCUAGUUGAUAUUAAGUUGAAGGAAGUGACGGUCGAGCUUAUUUUUGAAGGAGUCAAUCGUGUUACACUGGACCACUGAUGAUGGGAGCUUAUUCCAUUCUACUUUUCUACAACGUUGGUGAAGAAAAAUUUGGUGCAGUCUGAAUUUACUUGUCUACAUCUGAG